CCAAUCCCGCGGUCCUCCGCUCCCGACAUAGAACUCCGUCGCUCACCAUUCUUGCUCGCCCGCUCGCCGUCAUGGCUCUCCGAUGCCGCCCCCCACCGCCUUCCUCCCUCCCCCGCCCCACGCCGCCUUCCUCCCCCGAACCACGCUGCGAUGCUGCCGGCUCGUCCCCCUCCUCGUUCCCCACCGUCUCAAGCUUCAAUUUUUGCCACAUCGCCGGUGGUUGAUCUGCCGGCAGAAUUGCGGGCGGCGGCCUGGAGCGGCAGUACGCAAGCUCUGACUCCAUACCGAGCCAGCCGGCACACCCGCCAAGGAGCUUCGCCAGCCGCUGCCCUAGCGCCCGCGGCCGUCAAUGCGUGGUCGGGCGCCGCGUCGAUGUUGCCGCUGCUCGGCGCCGCCGUCGCCGACUCGUGGCUCGGCCGGUACCGCACCAUCGUCGCCUCCUUCGUUAUCUACAUCACGUGGCACAAAGGCGAGCUACCUUGGCGUGCAGAAGAGGCCCCCCUCCCUUGCCUUGUGCCCGGCGACCAACAACUGCGUGUCGACGUCCGAGAGGAUAAGCAAUUCCAAUCACUACGCUCCCCCAUGGUAACCAUCUGUGUUCAGUUCUUUCACCAUUGAUCAUGAACCACAUUAUAUGAUAAAUUCAGUGAGUAAGAAAUUGCAGAGUCCCAAAUAUGACAAAAAUGACAUCUGCAUUCUCUAAAAACAAUUUAGUUGCAAUACAAUGUCAAUUACCUGAAGCAGCACAUUCGGAUUUAGUUGCAAUACAAUGUCAAUAGUUGCAAUACAAGGUCAGUUAGUUGCUUCAUUUGUUAUUAUUAUUAUUACCACUGAUGUGUUUCUAGAAGAAACAAUUAUUACUCCUAAUUCAUGCUCACACAACCACUUCAUGCUCACACAAUCAUACAAGUUGAACCACAUAGUUAUUGACACAGAGAUUGCCAUGUUGCUAAUAAAAAAAUUGCAUCAUCCUUUCCUUUCAUAUACAGUAAUCAAAUCUGUUGGAGUUUACACACAAUAUGUGCUCGUAUCCUAUGCUCUUCCUGGUCAUCAACAAUGGAAAUGAUUGUGUGAAAUUUAACACAUUACUGGCCUGCAAACUGCUUCCAUUAUCCUGCUGAACACAACCUUUGCAGGGACGCACGGAAUUGCUCCUUUCCCUUUCUCUGCUUCUUUUCCUUUCUUUGCUUGGAGGGCGCUGCUGCUCUUCUUUCUCUUUCUCUGCUUCGAAGGUGGUGGUGGUGCUGCUACUGCUUGUAGGGUACUGCUGCUUGGAGGAUGUUGCUGGUCUUCUUUCCCUUUCUUUGCUUGGAGGGCGCUGCUGCUCUUCUUUCUCUUUCUCUGCUUCGAAGGUGGUGGUGGUGCUGCUACUGCUUGUAGAGUACUGCUGCUUGGAGGAUGUUGCUGGUCUUCUUUCCCUUUCUCUGCUUGGAGGGUGCUGCUGCUCCUCUUUCUCUUUCUCUGCUUCAAAUGUAGAAAUGUCAGUUCAGUGUGUAAUAUGAAUCUUUUUUGCCUUUAUAAAUUGCAGAAGAAGAAAGGUAAAUUUCAGCAUUCUAGCUUUCUUGCUGGGGGAGCUACAUCUGCUGCUAGGAAACUGGUUGCUCAAAAUGGGACUCUGAAGGCUAUUUGGCCUCACAGUGGCCACUAUCGCCCCACAGAGGAGAACUUCCAGGAGUUUAAAAGCUUCCUCAAUGACAACUUGGUUGAUCUCACUGAUGCACCUGAAGAAACUGGCUCUCUUCAGACAACUCAAGUCAUUCAAACAACAUCUACAGAGACAGAAAAACGUGAGGAACCAGUGGUGGCGCGCGAGAAGAUCCUUCAGAGGAGAUGGUGGUAGCAGCUGCACCCCUGUGGUAGCAUCAGCAUCUACAGAAGAACCAGUGGUAGCAUCAACACCAACAUCAACAUCUACAGAUCGUUCAGAGGAUCAACAUCUAUAGAAGAACCUGUGGUAGCAGCUGCACCCCUGUGGCCACGAACCUUGCCGUGGAGAUGCAGGGACACCUUCCCACGCUACAGCAAGGAGGAGAGGAAGAUGGAGCCGCGGCGGAAGAUGGAGCUGCGGCGCCUGAGCCUGGCAGCGGCGGAAGAUGGAAUCGCGGCGCCUGAGCCUGGCAGCGGCGGAAGAUGGAGCCACGGCGCCUGAGCCUGGCAGCGGCGGAAGAUGGAGCCACGGCGCCUGAGCCUGGCAGAGGAAGAAGAUGGAGCCGCGGCGCCUGAUCCUGGCAGCGGCGGAGACGGAGCUCGAUGUGCUGGAGUCACCGGCGCUAUCUUGCUGCCGGAGACGGAGCUCGAGGUACUCGGAGGUGGGGAGCUCGAGGUGCUGGGUGCGGGAGCUCGAGGAGCUGACGCCGGCGACGGGGUCCUAGUGCUAGGGAUGGAGCUCGAGGUUCUGGCCGGCGGGAGAUCGAGGUUCUGGCCGGCGGACGGAGGUUCCGCGCGGUGGAUCGCGACGAGCGGACGGAGAACUGGGUACUGGAUUGUAAUGAUUUCAAAUUUCGGAAGGGCCUUAUUGUAAAAUUGAUUUGUUCACGAUUCCGCCUCCCCUGGAGUCAUCUAUUACCGAACGGAGGGAGUACUAUAUAAGUAUAUAAAAUUAUCAAAUGUAGGAUUCCUGCCAUCCGUG
rnacentral:rRNA from 1 species